AAGGACGUGGGACACUGCGAAAAGCCUGGGGGAGCUGUGAACGAGCGCCGAUCCCAGGAUGUCCGAAUGGGGAAACCCGGCAGAGAGAACCUCUGUCAUCCAUGCAUGAAAAAGAUAGUGUAUGGAAGGGAACCCGGGGAACUGAAACAUCUAAGUACCCGGAGGAAAAGAGAAUAUUCCCAAAGUAGUGGCGAGCGAAAUGGGAGGAGCCCAAACCGAUAUGGAGCGAUCCGUAAAGGGGUUGUAGGAUCAGGAACAAAGGUGAACAAAGGCAGAAUAUAGUGGAAAGACUUGGGAAAGUCUGCCGAAGAGGGUGAGAGCCCCGUAGACGAAAUAGGACGCACACCGACCUGACACCUGAGUAGUACCGUGCACGCUAAUACGGUAUGAAGCUGGGGAGACCACUUCCCAAGGCUAAACACACACAGCGACCGAUAGAGGACAAGUACCGUGAGGGAAAGGUGAAAAGUACCCCGGGAGGGGAGUGAAAGAGAACCUGAAACCGUAAGCUUACAAGCAGUCGGAGGGCAAUGGUCGGCAACGACAAAGCCUGACGGCGUGCCUCUUGGAGAAUGAGCCUGCGAGUUAAUUGAUGUGGCGAGGUUAAGGGAGGAAAACCCGGAGCCGAAGCGAAAGCGAGUCUGAAUAGGGCGAGUGAGUCGCGUUGAUUAGACACGAAACUGGAUGAGCUAACCAUGGGCAGGAUGAAGCGAGAUUAAGCCCUCGUGGAGGUCCGAACCUUUCAAUGCUGCAAAAUUGAGGGAUGACCUGUGGUUAGGGGUGAUAUGCCAAACGAAUUCAGAGAUAGCUUGUUCUCCCCGAAAUAGUUUUAGGACUAGCGUUGCGGGAUAGUUUAUGGAGGUAGAGCACUGAUAGGGUAAGGGGGUCAAAGACUUACCGAACCCUGACAAACUCCGAAUGCCAUAAAGUGGACAGCAGCAGUCGGACUGCGGGUGAUGAGAUUCGUAGUCGAAAGGGAAACAGCCCAGAUCAUCGGCUAAGGUCCCCAAAUCGAUGCUAAGUGGGAAACGAUGUGGAGUUACACAGACAACCAGGAGGUUCGCUCAGAAGCAGCAAUCCUUUAAAGAGUGCGUAAUAGCUCACUGGUCAAGUGAUUCUGCGCGGAAAACGUAACGGGGCUAAGCAUCGUACCGAAGCCAUGGGCUUGAUAACAAAAGUUAUCGAGCGGUAGGGGAGCGUUCUGUCAGCGGGGAAGUCUCACCGGAAGGAGAGGUGGAGCGGACAGAAGUGAGAAUGCAGGCAUGAGUAGCGUAAAACAUGUGAGAACCAUGUUCGUUGAAAAUCCAAGGUUUCCGACGUCAAGUCAAUCUGCGUCGGGUUAGUCGGGACCUAAGGCGAGGCCGAGAGGCGUAGUCGAUGGACAACUGGUUAAUAAUCCAGUACCGAUUGUGUGGAGCGAAGGGGGGACACAACGAGGGAAUCCAGCCUGUUAGUGAAUUCAGGUGGAUGAACGUCAGGCGAUGAGAGAGGGAGAGAAAAGGCCCUUUUGAGCUGAGGGAAAUCAGGAGGCGCAAGCUAGAACUGAGAAGCACCUUGUUGGCAAGAAAAGCCUCUAAGUGAUGAAACACAAUUGCCCGUACCGUAAACCGACACUGGUGGAUGAGUAGAGAAUACUAAGACGAACGGGAGAACUAUCGUUAAGGAACUAGGCAAAAUAGCCCCGUAACUUUGGGAGAAGGGGUGCUCACAAUCCUGAUCAAUAGGGAAGGUGAGCCGCAGUGAAAGGGCUCUAGUGACUGGUUAGCAAAACCACAGGUCUCUGCAAAGUCGAAAGACGAAGUAUAGGGGCUGACGCCUGCCCAGUGCCGGAAGGUUAAGAGGAGGGGUUAGUGUUUUAGGACACGAAGCUUCGAAUCGAAGCCCCGGUGAACGGCGGCCGUAACUAUAACGGUCCUAAGGUAGCGAAAUUCCUUGUCGGGUAAGUUCCGACCCGCACGAACGGCGUAACAACUAGAGCACUGUCUCAACGAUAGACCCGGUGAAAUUGAAAUGGCUGUGAAGAUGCGGCCUACCCGCAGCAGGACAAAAAGACCCCGUGGAGCUUUACUGUAACCUGACAUUGAGUUUAGGUAUUAUUUGUGUAGGAUAGGUGGGAGGCUAAGAAGCCAGAGCGCUAGCUUUGGUGGAGCCAAUAGUGAAAUACCACCCUGAUAAUAUUUGGGCUCUAACCCUACGCCGUGAACCGGGUAGGGGACCGUGUCAGGCGGGCAGUUUGACUGGGGCGGUCGCCUCCAAAAGAGUAACGGAGGCGCCCAAA
rnacentral:rRNA from 1 species